rnacentral:lncRNA from 1 species
GUUCAAGCGACUCUGCAGCCUCCUGAGUAGUAGCUGGGAUUACAGGAGCAAGUCACCACAUCCGGCUCUGUGUAUCCUGUUUUACAGAUGAGAAAAUAGAGAAGAUUAGAGGUGCAGACAGAUAAGAGAAAGGCCAGAUCCAACAAACAUUGACUGAGCCAUCACCAAAUGUGGGGCCCCGCGGCAGAGACUCGAAGGGUCGUUCUGCAUAAAAAAGUUGAUGACAGCAUAGCUUCGUUUAUACAGCUGGGACCCUCUGGAGUCUACAGAUGGAUUGUUAGAGAUGUGGCCUGCCAGCUGCCUUUGGAGAGUAGCCAAAUCUGCUGGGACCCAGCCACUUCAGGCACAGAUGUGCUUGCCUUUCCUGAAUGGAUGUCUUCCAGAAACGUUGGCUGUGAUGUCUGGUUUUUGUAUCUAUUGUUACUUCCAACGAAGACACAUAUACAAAAGACUCCUGGCUGCCUUUUAAAUGAAAACGUGCAGCAUAUUAGGAUCAAUCAUUUGUCUAAUGUUGACUUCCAGGAUGAAUUGCAAACUGUGCAACUCCAGAAGACUGUUCCUCAGGGGCUCAACUCCAAGCAGCUUGGAGUAUCAGAAAUUAACGGGAACCCUCUCACAGAAGAGUAUGGAACCUCUUGCUACACUUCACAUGCCCAACUCCAAAGGAGCAUUCGCUGGGAAACUGAACCCUAA